rnacentral:rRNA from 1 species
CAGUCGCCGCGGUAAUACGAGGGGGGCAAGCGUUGUUCGGAAUUAUUGGGCGUAAAGGGUGCGUAGGCGGUACAGCAAGUCUCGUGUGAAAUCUUCGGGCUCAACCCGAAGUCUGCACGGGAAACUACUGGGCUUGAGUAAUGGAGAGGUGAGUGGAAUUUCCGGUGUAGCGGUGAAGUGCGUAGAUAUCGGAAGGAACACCUGUGGCGAAAGCGGCUCACUGAACAUUUACUGACGCUGAUGCACGAAAGCUAGGGGAGCAAACAGGAUUAGAUACCCCGGUAGUCCCUGUCUCUUAUAC